UUUUCUAGGUAGAGCAAUGAUAGACAUAAUACUGUUGCCUUCUGACAAAGAUCCUCCUAAAUUAAAAGAGUGCUUGCCCACUGUAGGGGCAUUGAAACAUCUGAAGGAAUGGCAUUCAGCAAAAGUUAUCAUGGCAGGCAAUCACUGUGAGACUAAUUGUCAGAAAAUUGCAGAAUACCUUUCAGCUAAUGUUGUACCUUUAGAAGAGUUCAGCAAUGCCAUUGACUCAAGAGAAUUGUGGAGGGGAGAGAUUCAGAUACGGGAAAGAAAGGUAAACAGGUUUCUUGCUUUCACCAUAUACAACAAAGUAGGCCUUUGGACUUCAUUUCCAGUACAUCUGAAGCCGACACCAGUGUGCUCAGGAAGAUGCUCUGGAUUGACACUAGGUGGAGUUUUCUUCAGUGAUGGUGGCCCAUGAGCUGCAUGUUGCCACCAAGAGCAGUCUGUGACUUGUUCUACCCCCAACUGGAUUUUUAAUUUUAUUUGAUUUUAAUUAGUUAUAAUUUCACUAGUCAACGUGAUUAUGUUUUAGGAAUUACUGUUCUGCAGUGUGGCAUUUUGAAAACAGUAUUGGACAUUAGCGAAGUUUGUAUUGUUGAAACAAGUAUUUUAAUUUUAUUGCCUGUGUUAGCCACUGGAAAAGUAUUGGGACUGGCUACCUAUAGUAUGCUUAGGUGAUUUCUACCGUAUACAAACCAGCUAACCUGGUUUAAAAGUUUUACUAGACCCUAGAUGUCUCAACUGUGUGAUGAAAAUUGUCACUUAGAUUUCUUUAGUCAUUCCUAAAUUUCUGAGGUCAGUGUUGGUGGUUCUUGUAAGUUACAUCUAUUUUGAAAUGUGUUCAUAUUAAUUCAUGUAAGUUUUAUAGAUAGAAAAAUUAAGAGAAUUUCUUAAUUCUUGUUCAGGAUAGUAUGUCAUCAUGAAUGGGCUCUUGCACUCCCUUUGGCUUUUUGUACUUUUUUCUCCCUUUAUCUUUCCUAUUGGCUUUAUGAAAUGUCCAAAAAAGCAGUAAGGAUAAUCUAGUCUAUCUAGAUUAACAUACUGUUCCAUACUAGUUUUAGGAAGAUUCAGUUUUUAGGGAAACUGUCUCUGCAAAUGGUGUUACUAGGAAUAAACAAACAAACAAACAAACAAACAAAUCAGUCAAUCAGCAUUCAGCCAAAGUGGAAGAGUUGACUAUGUGGGUAAGAGAAUGGCCUUUGUUUUCAUUUUCUCAAAUCAUGUGCUUACAUGUAGACAGAUCAUGCCAGAGUUGUUCUCAUGUGAUUCUUUUCUUCCUCUAAUAUGAAAUUAAGCACUCAUUAAUCUACUUUCAAACUUGGUGUUACUUCGUUGCUUUCAGCCAGCAGUCAUUCUAGUAGACUCUGGAGUUAUAAUGCCUGUACUCGAAUCCUGACAUGGUUCAAGUUUUGCAUGACAUCUUGGUACCAUAGUUGUGUUUUUCUCUAAGACAGGGGUGAUAACAAUAAAUAAUUCAUAAGGUUUAUUUGAGUUAUUUAGAGUACAAAAUAAAGACACAGUAAGUCCUGGCUGUUAGUAUUGUCGCGUCCUUACUGUUAACAGCAGCUCUAUCCCAGCUUCUGUGGUAACUGCGUUUCUCACCACCCGCAUACUUCGGAGGUGAACCCUGCAAGGCACUCACUCUACUAAGUACCUCAUAGUGAAGAACACAGGCAGCUCUGUCUGGCUGUAUCUUACAGACUGGUAGGAAGCCAGGUAUUGAAUGUGUACUGGGAAAGUUGCUUGGUCGUGUGGGUUCAUGAAACAGCUAGUAUACUCUUGCCAACUAACCAAGGGUCACGGAAAGCGUUUUUGUGAAAAGUUGAUGUUCAAGCUAAUAGAAUGAUGUAUACCCAAUAGGAAGAACGACCCUUAGAAUCCAUGUAUCAAAAAAAAAAAAA